UGGCUCAGUUGGUAGAGGAUGGUGUUUGCAACGCCAGGGUUGUGGGUUCAAUUCCCAU
rnacentral:tRNA from 1 species